rnacentral:rRNA from 1 species
GAUUAACGCUAGCGGCAGGCAUAAUACAUGCAAGUUGAACGGCAGCACAGGUAGCAAUACUGGGUGGCGAGUGGCGCACGGGUGCGUAACACGUAUGCAACCUACCCUAUACAGGCGAAUAACCUUUAGAAAUGAGGGCUAAUACGCCGUAGUAUUACAGAUGGGCAUCUAUUUGUAAUUAAAGAUUUAUCGGUAUAGGAUGGGCAUGCGUCCCAUUAGUUAGUUGGUAAGGUAACGGCUUACCAAGACGAUGAUGGGUAGGGGAUCUGAGAGGACUUACCCCCACACUGGUACUGAGACACGGACCAGACUCCUACGGGAGGCAGCAGUAAGGAAUAUUGGGCAAUGGCCGCGAGGCUGACCCAGCCAUGCCGCGUGCAGGAAGACGGCCUUAUGGGUUGUAAACUGCUUUUAUACGGGAAUAAUAGAGUGUACGCGUACAUUUAUGCAAGUAGCGGAUGAAUAAGCAUCGGCUAACUCCGUG